GCCGGGGUGGCGGAAUGGCAGACGCACCGGACUUAAAAUCCGGAGGAGUAACUCUCCAUGUGGGUUCGAGUCCCACCCCCGGCA
rnacentral:tRNA from 1 species